rnacentral:rRNA from 1 species
UACAGAGGUGGCAAGCGUUGUUCGGAAUUACUGGGCGUAAAGGGCGCGUAGGCGGCCUUCUGAGUCAGACGUGAAAUCCCCCGGCUUAACCUGGGAACUGCGUCUGAUACUGGGAGGCUAGAGUGCGGGAGAGGGAUGCGGAAUUCCAGGUGUAGCAGUGAAAUGCGUAGAGAUGCGGAGGAACACCGAUGGCGAAGGCAGCCCCCUGGGCUGACACUGACGCUCAGGCACGAAAGCGUGGGGAGCAAACAGG